rnacentral:lncRNA from 10 species
CUUCUUAGGUUUACCAAGGCCCUGAGAGUGAUGCUACUCCAUGUACCUACCACCCAGGAGCACCCCGAUUCCAUGAGGGGUGAGGGAGGGGACUGGGUGGGCUAUGAGGCUAUGAGACAGGUUUCUCCUAAUAUUUGGUCAUAAGAUAAUAUUGGGGGUGAGAGAAUUCAGUUGAAUUAUCUUCCUACUUCAGGAUGAAGUCUUGGAGCUGUUGUGGCAUCCAGACCCUGGAUUUUGGGGCAUUCUUGGCACAACCAGGGUGCAGAGUCGGUAGACAUGACUGGGGGAAGCAGCUCCCAGCAUCUUGCCGCCAUGAUUGGCACCAGACAGAUUCCUUAGUAGUGGUGACUGUAUAUGGCCAGAUUCCACUUCCUGCGUUUAACUGGGUGAAGGCCAGUCAAACUGAGGUGAGCAAUGAUCUGAUGUUGGAUGGGAGGAUAGUCAAUUGGGUGAUACUACAAUCUCACAGGCAGAGUUGCCAUUUGCUGUUAACCUGUAGGCUCCAUAGUACCCUUAGAGGAAAGGAGAGUUAUUAGGUCAGGGCUGUCUGGCCAACCUGUGGAUCAUACCUCUGACCUGGUUAUCUGUCGUAAUGACCUAUUCUGACCUUCUGGGUUUGUUACUACCCCUGUAAUUCUUUUCUCUCAGCUUCAUGUCCACAUUGUCUUUGAUGGUAACCGUGUGUUCCAAGCACAGAUGAAGCUCUGGGGGGUAAGUGAAGACCAGGGGACACAAGAGUGGGAGGCAGAUGGGUGAAAGAGCGGCUAGACUGGAAUAGAGGGUGUCUUGAGGGAAGGAGUUGUACUAGGAAAAUGGAGGUUUUCUCUUCAUUUGCUUUCAUUUUCUCUCUCUCUCCUACUCUUCCUAUUUCCCUCUUUCCCUCCCCUC